CAGUAGCCGCGGUAAUACGAAGGGGGCUAGCGUUGCUCGGAAUUACUGGGCGUAGAGGGAGCGUAGGCGGACAUUUAAGUCAGGGGUGAAAUCCCAGAGCUCAACUCUGGAACUGCCUUUGAUACUGGGUGUCUUGAGUGUGAUAGAGGUAUGUGGAACUCCGAGUGUAGAGGUGAAAUUCGUAGAUAUUCGGAAGAACACCAGUGGCGAAGGCGACAUACUGGAUCAUUACUGACGCUGAGGCUCGAAAGCGUGGGGGGCAAACAGGAUUAGAUACCCCCGUAGUCCCUGUCUCUUAUAC
rnacentral:rRNA from 1 species